rnacentral:tRNA from 1 species
UUAAUUGAAACCAAAUAGAGGUAUAUUAUUGUUAAUAAUAUCAUUGAAGUUAAUUUUCCAAUUAAA